UACGAAGGGGGCUAGCGUUGUUCGGAAUUACUGGGCGUAAAGCGUGCGCAGGCGGCUUCUCAAGUCAGGGGUGAAAGCCCAGAGCUCAACUCUGGAAUUGCCUUUGAGACUGAGUGGCUUGAGUACGAGAGAGGUGAGUGGAAUUCCCAGUGUAGAGGUGAAAUUCGUAGAUAUUGGGAAGAACACCGGUGGCGAAGGCGGUUCUCUGGGCCUGUACUGACGCUGAGGAGCGAAAGCGUGGGGAGCGAACAGG
rnacentral:rRNA from 1 species